ensembl:lncRNA
AAGGAGGAAGCUGCACUAUUUAAAAGCAGAAUGUGCAAAAAGCUGAUCUGCCUGGAGAUGAGGAGCAGAUAGGAACCGAGAUACCAGGAGGCAGAGAGAGAGUGAUGGAAGAAGGAAAUGGGAGAACUACAGUGAUAAAGACAGUAAAUGGCACACGAAAAAGGAGGUGAAGAAAUUCUGAGCCAGCAAGAAUAAAAAAAGAAGAAUAGAUGAUGAAAUGUUGGCAACUGUGAGGAAGACUGAAGGAUACACUCAAACUAGUGAUGCACAGGGCCUGGAAUGGGUGCGGUGGAGGAAGGAGGUGAGAGCCCCCAGGAACCGGCAGAACCAGUUUCCUGGGUGCCUGGGAAAUCCUGCCUUCAAAGACUCUGAGUGAUGGAAGAUCAACAAUAUCAGCAGUCUUCAUCUCAUUGCCUAUCUGAGGCAUCCUCAGUACAAAAUCAAAAAUACAUCAAGAAAAUGGGAAGAGGAACAAGAAAAAGGAAACAAAAGGAACUGGGAAGGAAAAAGCACAAGCCCUCUGGAGAAGAGGAAUACAAACAAAAAGUGGACAGGGAAGAAGGACAGGCUUUCCUCACUGCCGUAAAAAGACAAUUUCUUCAGCAGGACCCCACAGACACCUUAUUGUUUUGCAAAGGCAUGAUCUGUAUUUACAUGCGUGUUUGGGGCUCCCAAAACGAGCUCCAAAUCGGAUCGGCAUUUGCCUGACACAACUUGCUGACGUCGACGGAUUCCUUUUCAGUCGUGCAGAUAAAGUAAAACGUACAGCUCCACCUGCUGGAGGAGCCUCCUCCAUGGAUCAUCACGACGUAAUUUCCUACAAAUACACUUAGGGUGGGUCCGGAGUUGGUACGCUGAAAGGUACUGGGGAAUUUCAUUUAGCUUGCCGUUCACGCAAGCCUGCCUGCUUUGCUCCUGUGCACAGUUAUGGAGUUUGUCCUCUGCACUAAGUCACUAUCAGCAAACAACAACCAAGCAAUAAAUAAAUAAACCGAUGAAAAGAUAGAACAGUUAGAUGUUCAGAAAACAGGAAAAUAUCGUUUAUUUGCAGCUUGACACAAUAACAAAGAUCCACUUCACAAGAAGCCUGGAGGAAACCAGUCAUCGUCCCCAAGCACUGUAAUCAGGCUGCCCUAUGGCUCAUUUCUGCAGCUGAGUCUUUGCCAUGGCAGCAUCUCGGCCAUGUUGCUCCCUGUUCACUCCCUCUAGCAAGUCAGUAAGGAUCAUCCCAUGCCACAAGGGCCAGGUAGCUAGAGCUGCUCCUUACAAGUCCAUAAACUCUUCCAAAUUUCAUUGAAAGAAGAAGGCAUGCGGACAGAAGCUACGUCGAUAAUGAGACAAUUAGAAACGCACAAAAUAUUCCCAUAGGAGCAUGAAAACCAUUGCAAAAAAGUCAGCCAGAAAUUUAAAAUGCAACUUUGUGUUGAUAAAAAAUUCCUCUUGGGAAAAACGUUUUUCUCCACAAGGAAUCAGCUACGUGGCAAGACUAUUCCCAUUGUUUUACAGACAUGGGAAAUGAAAUAGAAUGAAGUUAUAGUAGUUGAGAGCACAGAUCUAGGAGGAAGACACUCGUAGUCCAACUGUCAAAGCAACAGUACUGAGAAAAGACAAAGGUUUUCAAGGAGGAGGAGUAUUAUUUUGCAAAGCACUUAGCAACUGUGGUUUCUGAAUGAUAGUAUUGAUAAAGAUGCACACCAUAACUAAAUAUAAACUUCUUCUCCUACUGUGAAUGUGGAGAUGAUCACAAUGUGGUGUAAAAUUUCAAUAUGGACACAACAACAUUUCAGAUAAUAAGGUGAGCUGCAUAAUCAGCUCCUGUAUUCAAAAAUAUACAUCUAAGCUCCCUCAUUUUGUAGUUAAGUCCCAAAAUAUCACUUAUCACCCAACAGGAUCGGGAGGCAAUACAGAUGUGAAAGACCUCUUGUGUAGUGCAAAGGCAAUCAGUAGCCUAACACAGAGCUCUGCAAUGGGAGUUUCUGCAGUAUGCCAAAGAGAAGGAGAGGAAAAGAGGAAACAGACCUACUAAGCUGUAACUUAUAACUACAUAAACCAAAUGUUCAUCACCAGAAAAGUCUGAUCAAAUCCAGGAAAAAUAAUUUCACAAAUGGCAAAGCUCCAAAACAGUGAUUCUGAUGCCUUACAUAAGGCUCAGGGAAUGUUUUCUCACAUUUGGAAUGUAUCCAAGUGUGAGAUCCAUGAUCAAUAUAGGACACAAAAUGAAAAAAUAAACCAGACACCAAAAAAACAAAUAAAAUAAAAUAAAAAAUCAUGAUUGCAUUUUAAUUCCACAUUCAUUAGACAGCAGCCAGGGUGAAGAGCGACGACUGUGUAUACUUUCAAUUAACUGCACGUUAAGUAUGCAGUCUUCAUCCUUGAUAGUAUCCAUGUUUCCCUUACCAGUUAGGGGUUCCUUCCUUUGCAGUUUCUUUCUAUUCUCUGAAGCCUUGAAAGAAUGAGAUUUCAUAAAAUGAAAUGUACUUGUUAAAGAGUAUUGCUGAUCUUUUUAUUCAAGAGCUUAAUGUAGCUAUAUGUGCUCUUGAGGCAUUUAGCAACUUCAGGAAGUACCAUCAGCAAUUAGAAGAAGAAUUUAGAAUUAGAUGGGAUAAAAGCUUAUAGUGUUCUUUCUGAAAUUACUUGAGUGAAGUAC